rnacentral:sRNA from 1 species
AUUCAGGAGAAUCAAACACCCAGCGAGGCUUUGCCAAGAGACCAGCGUCCUGGCCAGAUUAUUGUUAAAGACAACGAUCGUAUUCAAAACAAUUAAUGGGAUAUAGAGAAGCAUGAAGCUGACGGUGAUGGCUGACAGCUUGAACAGGACCCGGGUCUGGGUUCUGUAAAGGUACCAGCUCCUCAGGUUAUCACUGGGGUGAACAGCUUUAGAGAGUUUGGAGAUUUUCAUAAAAAUCAGCAUGUAGAGGAACACAUUCGAGACAAGCAGGAGACAGAAGACCAUGGUCACCGUGGCUAGCCCCGCCCUACCCGUCAUGAUGUACGACGCACACACCGCCGUCCGCGCCGAGCCGUAGAUUUUGAAUCCAUCAAUAAAGUUAACGGCCGACAGAAACACCCCCGCUACCCACAGGAGUAGAACGGCGGCGAAAGAAAACUUUUUCUCGUGUAAAACGAUAGUUUGGUAACGAAAGGGGUAGAAAAUAGCGACGAAGCGAUCCACCAGCAGGCCCGUGAUGGUCGUGAAGGAAACGACGACCCCGAUACAAUACAGGUACAUCAGGGGCCGACACAGGUACUCAGGGAGCACCGGGCUCAGGAAGGAGUCCAGGAGGAUCGCUACCCCAGUCAGCAGGUCCGUCAACGCCAGGUUCAUCGUCAUCACUUUGAUCUGAAAGUUCAUUUUUAUGCUUUGCGCCAGAAUACGUAAAGCCAGCAGGUUCAACAGAAUGAUGACCGUCCCUAGAAAAAAAGGCAACAUGUUCUGCUGAAGAACGAAUAUUUGCUGAUCCGUGGAGUUCUGUGCCAUGUUCCUUCUUCUGCUCCGUGAUCGUAUGAUAUGUGAUCUACACAAAUCGAGGCUUUAUAUAUAUGUAUGCAUGAGAAAAGCGAUAAUUUAUAUAACCAUAAUUAAGUUGACCAAGUAUGAUACAUAACAGUAUGUUUAGAAUAACCUAGAUGUUCUGAAGUAUUAAAAGUGUAAAUCAUCUCUCGUGAAAAACAGAACUCUUGUUGUUCAAUGGAAAAAGUCUAGAAAAGGGUUUUCAUUCGUCAGAUGCUGUUUUGUUUUCGGCAUACCACACUAAUGAAAAAUGUCUUUAAAAAUAUCAAAAAUCCAAUCGCAUUGAGAAUAACAAAGGGUACAUCUGGUCCAUUUUCAAGAUUAAACAUAUUUAAUCACAGAUUACAAAGCUCACCGACACGAGGCAUCACCUUUAUGAGGCAUCACCCUUAUGAGACCACCUUUAUCAUUUAAUAUGACAAUCAUAGCUAAUAAUCUUGGAUAUUCAUGAAUACUGUUUUGACACAAUAUUGUAUAUCAUGUGUUAAUCAUUUCUUCAUUUCAUACAGUAUUAUAAGAUACAAUAUUUAUCAAUGCAAUAAUAAAAAAUACAAUAUUGC